UAUCUCUGUAGAGUCUGCAUAUCAAUAAGCGGAGGAAAAGAAACUAACUAGGAUUCCCUCAGUAACGGCGAGUGAAGCGGGAAGAGCUCAAAUUUGAAAUCUUCAAGGUUCUACCUUGACGAAUUAUAGUUUAAAGAAGUGUUUUCUGUUGGAUGUUUUGGUAAAAGUUCUUUGGAAUAGGACAUCAUAGAGGGUGAGAAUCCCGUAUUUGACCAUUACUUUCCAGCUUUGUGAUACACUUUCAAAGAGUCGGAUUGUUUGGGAAUGCAGUCCAAAAUGGGUGGUAAAUUUCAUCUAAAGCUAAAUAUUGGCGAGAGACCGAUAGCGAACAAGUACCGUGAGGGAAAGAUGAAAAGAACUUUGAAAAGAGAGUUAAACAGUACGUGAAAUUGUCAAAAGGGAAGCGUUUGACACCAGUGUUGUUUUCUCGAAAAUCGAUUAAAAAAGGCAGGAUUUUGUGUUGUAUUGACUUUAUCAGCUUUCUGCACUCUUUUCUUGUCUUUUUUAAUGCACUUUUCGUUUAACAAGUCAACAUCAAUUUCUUUUGUUGUAAAAGGGUCAUUGGAAGGUGGCUUUCUUUUCGGAGAAAGUGUUUAUAGCCUUUGGCCUCUGCAAUCGGAGAGAUUGAGGUCUGCAGCGUAGAUCCUUCGGGGUUAGAUACAUUUGUGCUAAGUUAUAGCCUUUCAUAGACAACUUGUUGACUAUGAUCAGUCAUGUAGCUUACUCGCUUAUGCUAUUUUACCUACGCUUAGGAUGUUGACGAUCAGCUGAGCGCG
rnacentral:rRNA from 1 species